AUUGAACGCUGGCGGCAUGCCUUACACAUGCAAGUCGAACGGCAGCACGGGAGCAAUCCUGGUGGCGAGUGGCGAACGGGUGAGUAAUAUAUCGGAACGUGCCCAGUCGUGGGGAUAACGUAGCGAAAGCUACGCUAAUACCGCAUACGAUCUAUGGAUGAAAGCGGGGGAUCGCAAGACCUCGCGCGAUUGGAGCGGCCGAUAUCAGAUUAGGUAGUUGGUGAGGUAAAGGCUCACCAAGCCGACGAUCUGUAGCUGGUCUGAGAGGACGACCAGCCACACUGGGACUGAGACACGGCCCAGACUCCUACGGAGGCAGCAGUGGGGAAUUUUUGGGACAAUGGGCGCAAGCCUGAUCCAGCAAUGCCGCGUGCAGGAUGAAAGGCCUUC
rnacentral:rRNA from 1 species